UCGGAUAUGGUGUAAAGGCUAACACCGCCGCCCCCCACGCGGCAGCUCGGGGUUUGGUUCCCCGUAUCCGAA
rnacentral:tRNA from 1 species